GACGAACGCUGGCGGCGUGCCUAACACAUGCAAGUCGAACGGUGACGCGCCUUCCUUUUUGGUGGGUGUGGAGGAGUGGCGAACGGGGGAGUAACACGUUAGUAACCUGCCCCCUUCUUCUGGAUAACCGCAUGAAAGUGUGGCUAAUACAGGAUAUUCUGGGUCUGUCGCAUGAUGGGUCUGGGAAAGAUAUUGUUUCGGUGGGGGAUGGGCUCGCGGCGUAUCAGCUUGUUGGUGGGGUUAUGGCCUACCAAGGCGGUGACGGAUAGCCGGCCUGGAGGGGUGGUCGGCCACAUUAGGAGUGAGACACGACGCAAACUCCUACGGGGGGCAGCAGUAGGGAGUCUUCCGCAAUGGUCGGAAGUAGGACGAAGCAGCGCCGCGGGGGUAGAGAAGGUGUUCGGAGCGUAGAACUCUGUUGUUGGAAGAGAAGAAGGGCUGGAGUGUCUGUUAGUGGCUUGACGGUAUCUAAAUAAAAAGCGACGGCUAACUACGUG
rnacentral:rRNA from 1 species